GACUCAUCAGAUUCUGAAUUUUAAAAGCUGCUGAAUUUCUUACUUUGAAUCUUUUUUGCAUCAAAAUUACGUAUGUGAAUUUUUUAUGCCUGAAUUUAGCUCAUCAAAAUUCUAAAAACCAGUUAAAAAUUCAAUGUCUUCAAAAUUCACCAUCAAAAAAUUCAAUGUUCAAAAUUCGCCAUCAAAAAAUUCAAUGUUCAAAAUUCGCUGUCAAAAAAUUCGCUGUUCACAUCCGGGGGACUCAGGCGUAAACAAUCGAUCCUGGCCAAAAUCGAACCAACGCCCAGCCAAUCACGUGGCGCUCCUCCGGUCAUGUGACGCAGACGGUUCACCUCACAAGACCGGGGUCAACCACAGCUACCAGCAUGAACGACGGCGCUUCACAACACCGUCUGAACUGACCAGUCUGGUGAAAUUCUGGACUGGAUGGGAGACUCUACCAAGAACUCUCUCUACAGAAGUAGUGAAUGGCAGAUACCUGACAGCCUCCACCUGCUAUGAGACCUUACAUUCCCAGGACAUUACAAGGACUACACAUCAUUUAAGACUGACAUCCUGGCCUGUAUUUGCACUUGCCAGUCAAGAUAUGUUAGUAAGGCAGCAUCAGGAGACAAACAUGGAGGAAAUAUGAGAACAGAGAGAACCCAACCAGCAGGUCACAGUUUAUCAUCAUCUAAUCAUCUCCUGAAGUCGAUAUGGUCCCUCUCUAUCUCCCCACACAUCCACCAACCACUGGAACACAUCUCCAAAGUUCUGCCGGGCCAGCUCAGCUUCCCCUCAGAAGAAGUGCCGCCACCCGCCAGAUGAAGGAGCCUUUUGAGAGGCAGCUGGCAUCGUGAUUGGACUGUACUUUGGUCUGUUCCAAUCCAGCUUCAGCUCCAGAGACGGCAGGCGGGACGAGUCAACGGAGGCCGGGUGGACGAAGGCAUGCAGCUGAGUACAAUCCAGAAAACAACAGAGGAGGAGUGCAGUGGCCCAGAGCCAGAACAACCAGAGUAGCAUGACCAAAGAACUACAGACUCUUCACAACCUGCUCAAACUCUUGGUACAGGACCUCACCACACGGGUCAAGAAGGUUUCCGUCUCAUUUCUACUCUGAAGCUCACCUUCUCCUGCUCAAACUGCUGACAAAUGUUUCUUCUGCUCUAAAGUCUAGUCUCCAGAACUUCCUAAAAACUCUCAAAGUCUCUUCUGCUGCAGGUUGCUUUGUAGAACUGUUCCAGAAAACCUCACUAAACCACAUGGAGGGGCCUCAAGAUAGUCGUCCAAAUGAAACCGUACAAAAACCAAACUAGCACAACCCAAACACUAAAGUCUCCUGCAGCCUACCAGAGAACCUCUGAGAACAGAGAAUCAGGACAGGAACUCUUACCUUCUGGACAACCAACGCUGGUUCUCAAACAAGAAUACAGAAUGUGUCUGACCAAAAACCUCUAAAGACUCACUACAGCCAAGAUAAAGACACAACUCAGCUGCAACAAAUCCACUAAUCACGGCACACAUUAGCACCAUGUGCUAACUGUGGCUAAAGAACCACAUUUACCAAGACAACUAUCCAGUACAAAGCCCUAAAACACACCAAGAAACACAUUAAAGACGAUUUUACUGCUGGAAGCUGCAAGCCAACGCCUAAAGCACAAACUAAAGCAAUGGAGCCAAACCCGGUUCAGUGGUGAAGACAAGCAGAGGAAAUGUUUGUCUGCAGCUCAAUAAAGCAGGAAGACACUGAGCUGCUCAGGUGUUCCUGAUAACACCAAGCAGCCACCUGGACAGCCAAUAGGAACACAGCUUACUGGAAGUCCAGAGGGCUGGCUUAGUGAAGGAAAUUUAGUUUAAAGUUGAAGCAGAAAGUUAACAAAGAAAAUUGAAAACCACCUUCUGAUACCUGAAAUCUCUUGAGUUUUCACACAAAGAACACCUGAACAUGUCAAACUGGUUCCAUAGUAGAACCAUCAUUGUAAAAACGUCAUAGUAUGGUGUGUUGCUCAAAAAACAUUAGGACCCGGCUGUCAGGGGACAAACAUGUAAGAAACAUGAGAACAGAGAGAACCCAACCAGUAGGUCACAGUUUAUCAUCCCCCAGUCAUCUCCUGAAGUCCAUAUGGUGAGAGACAUCAGUAUCUGGUUGUUAAUUUACCAGAGGAUGCUUAUAAUCAUGCUGAUGUGGUCUGUACUCUACAGUAUUUUAGUGACUCAAUAAAUGCCUAAGUCAACCCGCCCAGCCAGCAGGCAGAUGGGUCCCCCCACAUAAAGAGCCGGGUUCUGCUCGAGGUUUUUUCCCUGUUAAAAGGGUGUUUUCCUUGCCACUGUCGCCUUUUGGCUUGCUCUGGGGGUCAGGCAUAUUAGUUCUGUAAAGCGUCUCGAGACAAUUUGACUGUAAUUGGUGCUAUAUAAAUAAAAUUGAAUUUAAUUGAAUUGUUUUUUUAAAUGCUUUUUAGUUUUUAUUAAACAUUUAAGAGCCUAUAUGUAAUCAAUAAAUGGCCUUUGUCUAUCU